GACGAACGCUGGCGGCGUGCUUAACACAUGCAAGUCGAACGGAAAGGCCCUGCUUUUGUGGGGUGCUCGAGUGGCGAACGGGUGAGUAACACGUGAGUAACCUGCCCUUGACUUUGGGAUAACUUCAGGAAACUGGGGCUAAUACCGGAUAGGAGCUCCUGCUGCAUGGUGGGGGUUGGAAAGUUUCGGCGGUUGGGGAUGGACUCGCGGCUUAUCAGCUUGUUGGUGGGGUAGUGGCUUACCAAGGCUUUGACGGUAGCCGGCCUGAGAGGGUGACCGGCCACAUUGGGACUGAGAUACGGCCCAGACUCCUACGGGAGGCAGCAGUGGGGAAUAUUGCACAAUGGGCGGAAGCCUGAUGCAGCAACGCCGCGUGCGGGAUGACGGCCUUCGGGUUGUAAACCGCUUUCGCCUGUGGCGAAGCGUGAGUGACGGUAAUGGGUAAAGAAGCACCGGCUAACUACGUG
rnacentral:rRNA from 1 species